CCUGUAGGCUGGAGGGACUGUGAGGUAAACAGCUGAGGGGGAGGAGACGGUAGUGACCAUGAAAGACACCAGGUUGACAGCACUGGAAACUGAAGUACCAGUUGUCCCUAGAACAGUUUGUUAGUGGCCCCAAUGAAGAACCUUCAGAACCUGUAGCACACGUCCUUGAGCCGGCACAGCGCCUUCGAGUGAGAGAAUGGCCCAACAAGCGAAUGUCGGGGAGCUUCUUGCCAUGCUGGACUCCCCCAUGCUGGGUGUGCGGGACGACGUGACAGCUGUCUUUAAAGAGAACCUCAAUUCUGACCGUGGUCCUAUGCUUGUAAACACCUUGGUGGAUUAUUACCUGGAAACCAACUCUCAGCCAGCAUUGCACAUCCUGACCACCUUGCAAGAGCCACAUGACAAGCACCUCUUGGACAGGAUUAACGAAUAUGUGGGCAAAGCUGCCACUCGUUUAUCCAUCCUCUCGUUACUGGGUCAUGUCAUAAGACUGCAGCCAUCUUGGAAGCAUAAACUCUCUCAAGCACCUCUUUUGCCUUCUUUACUAAAAUGUCUCAAGAUGGACACUGAUGUCGUUGUCCUCACAACAGGUGUCUUGGUGUUGAUAACCAUGCUACCAAUGAUUCCACAGUCUGGGAAACAGCAUCUUCUUGAUUUCUUUGACAUUUUUGGCCGUCUAUCAUCAUGGUGCCUGAAGAAACCAGGCCACGUGGCGGAAGUCUAUCUCGUCCAUCUCCAUGCCAGUGUGUACGCACUCUUUCAUCGCCUUUAUGGAAUGUACCCUUGCAACUUCGUCUCCUUUUUGCGUUCUCAUUACAGUAUGAAAGAAAACCUGGAGACUUUUGAAGAAGUGGUCAAGCCAAUGAUGGAGCAUGUGCGAAUUCAUCCGGAAUUAGUGACUGGAUCCAAGGACCAUGAACUGGACCCUCGAAGGUGGAAGAGAUUAGAAACUCAUGAUGUUGUGAUCGAGUGUGCCAAAAUCUCUCUGGAUCCCACAGAAGCCUCAUAUGAAGAUGGCUAUUCUGUGUCUCACCAAAUCUCAGCCCGCUUUCCUCAUCGUUCAGCCGAUGUCACCACCAGCCCUUAUGCUGACACACAGAAUAGCUAUGGGUGUGCUACUUCUACCCCUUACUCCACGUCUCGGCUGACGUUGUUAAAUACGCCAGGGCAGCUACCUCAGACUCUGAGUUCCCCAUCGACACGGCUGAUAACUGAACCACCACAAGCUACUUUUUGGAGCCCAUCUAUGGUUUGUGGUAUGACCACUCCUCCAACUUCUCCUGGAAAUGUCCCACCUGAUCUGUCACACCCUUACAGUAAAGUCUUUGGUACAACUGCAGGUGGAAAAGGAACUCCUCUGGGAACCCCAGCAACCUCUCCUCCUCCAGCCCCACUCUGUCAUUCGGAUGACUACGUGCACAUUUCACUCCCCCAGGCCACAGUCACGCCCCCCAGGAAGGUGCGAUCCAGCUCGUCUGCUAUCCCUCUGCCCAGGCACAGUGACUCACUUGCAAGCCACACUUUGAGAAGCCUAAUUAUGCCAGAAAGAAUUCUGACCUAAAAUGCAAUGGGUUUAAUCAGAAUAAUUGAAAAUGGACUAACAAGCUGCUCUCAAGGUGUGAUCUGCCCACCCCUGGGUGGUUCCAAAACUCUGCUUUGGAAGAACUCUUGUAGGGAAUCCAGCAGGUCAAACCUACUUUCUUGAAUUUUUUUUUUUUUUUUUUUUUUUUUUGAGACGGUCUUGCUCUGUCACCCAGGGUGGAGUGCAGUGGCACGAUCAUGGCUCACUGCAGCCUUGCCCUCCCAGACUCAUGCAAUCCUCUUGCAUCAGCCUCCCAAGUAGCUGGGACUACAGGCAUGUGCCAUGAUGCCUGGCUAACUUUUUUUUUUUUUUUGGUGGAGAUGAGGUCUCACUAUGUUGCCCAGGCUAGUCUUAAACUCCUGGACUCAAACGAUCCUCCUACCUGGGCCUCCCAAAAUCCUGGGAUUACAGGUUUGAGCCACUACACCUGACCAAACCCACUUUCAUAGUAACACUAAGCUGUCAUUUGCCCUUCCCACUGCAAUGGCAUCUACACUGAUGGCACAAAUACGAUUUGGGGUGAAAUGGUGGCAACAUAGCCUGAAUCAAGGCAGGCAUUGAAGUGUCCUAUCCUAGGAGGCCUUGCAUUCUUCCCUGACAUCUUCUCUCCAUUAAAAACAAUAAAAACAAAAAAAUUUA
rnacentral:sRNA from 1 species